GGAUUGCGGCAGCUACCAUGCAGUCGAGCGGAACGAUGGAAGCUUGCUUCCAGGCGUCGAGCGGCGGACGGGUGAGUAAUGCAUAGGAAUCUGCCCGAUAGUGGGGGAUAACCUGGGGAAACCCAGGCUAAUACCGCAUACGUCCUACGGGAGAAAGCAGGGGAUCUUCGGACCUUGCGCUAUCGGAUGAGCCUAUGUCGGAUUAGCUAGUUGGUGAGGUAACGGCUCACCAAGGCCGCGAUCCGUAGCUGGUCUGAGAGGAUGAUCAGCCACAUCGGGACUGAGACACGGCCCGAACUCCUACGGGAGGCAGCAGUGGGGAAUAUUGGACAAUGGGCGAAAGCCUGAUCCAGCCAUGCCGCGUGUGUGAAGAAGGCUUUCGGGUUGUAAAGCACUUUCAGUGGGGAAGAAAUCCUCGGGGCCAAUACCCUCGAGGGAGGACAUCACCCACAGAAGAAGCACCGGCUAACUCCGUGCCAGCAGCCGCGGUAAUACGGAGGGUGCGAGCGUUAAUCGGAAUUACUGGGCGUAAAGCGCGCGUAGGCGGCGUGAUAAGCCGGUUGUGAAAGCCCCGGGCUCAACCUGGGAACGGCAUCCGGAACUGUCAGGCUAGAGUGCAGGAGAGGAAGGUAGAAUUCCCGGUGUAGCGGUGAAAUGCGUAGAGAUCGGGAGGAAUACCAGUGGCGAAGGCGGCCUUCUGGACUGACACUGACGCUGAGGUGCGAAAGCGUGGGUAGCAAACAGGAUUAGAUACCCUGGUAGUCCACGCCGUAAACGAUGUCGACUAGCCGUUGGGGUCCUUGUGACCUUUGUGGCGCAGUUAACGCGAUAAGUCGACCGCCUGGGGAGUACGGCCGCAAGGUUAAAACUCAAAUGAAUUGACGGGGGCCCGCACAAGCGGUGGAGCAUGUGGUUUAAUUCGAUGCAACGCGAAGAACCUUACCUACUCUUGACAUCGUGCGAACUUUCCAGAGAUGGAUUGGUGCCUUCGGGAACGCACAGACAGGUGCUGCAUGGCCGUCGUCAGCUCGUGUUGUGAAAUGUUGGGUUAAGUCCCGUAACGAGCGCAACCCUUGUCCCUAUUUGCCAGCGAUUCGGUCGGGAACUCUAGGGAGACUGCCGGUGACAAACCGGAGGAAGGUGGGGACGACGUCAGGUCAUCAUGGCCCUUACGAGUAGGGCUACACACGUGCUACAAUGGCCGGUACAAAGGGUUGCGAAGCCGCGAGGUGGAGCUAAUCCCGAAAAGCCGGUCUCAGUCCGGAUCGGAGUCUGCAACUCGACUCCGUGAAGUCGGAAUCGCUAGUAAUCGUGAAUCAGAAUGUCACGGUGAAUACGUUCCCGGGCCUUGUACACACCGCCCGUCACACCAUGGGAGUGGACUGCACCAGAAGUGGUUAGCCUAACUUCGGAGGGCGAUCACCACGGUGUAUGUCG
rnacentral:rRNA from 1 species